rnacentral:rRNA from 1 species
CGACUACGAGUUUGAUCCUGGCUCAGAUUGAACGCUGGCGGCAUGCUUUACACAUGCAAGUCGAACGGUAACAGGCCUUCGGGUGCUGACGAGUGGCGAACGGGUGAGUAAUGCAUCGGAACGUGCCCAAUCGUGGGGAUAACGUAGCGAAAGUUACGCUAAUACCGCAUAAGCCCUGAGGGGGAAAGCAGGGGAUCGCAAGACCUUGCGCGAAUGGAGCGGCCGAUGUCAGAUUAGCUAGUUGGUGGGGUAAAGGCCUACCAAGGCGACGAUCUGUAGCGGGUCUGAGAGGAUGAUCCGCCACACUGGGACUGAGACACGGCCCAGACUCCUACGGGAGGCAGCAGUGGGGAAUUUUGGACAAUGGGCGCAAGCCUGAUCCAGCCAUGCCGCGUGCGGGACGAAGGCCUUCGGGUUGUAAACCGCUUUCAGCCGGAAAGAAAUCGCCAAGGCUAAUAUCCUUGGUGGAUGACGGUACCGGAAGAAGAAGCACCGGCUAACUACGUG